UGUUCAUUGGUGAUACAUGAAGAGAGGUUUUCUGGGUUUCUGUUUCUUUAAUGAGGAUGAAACACACCUGGUCAACCUCUUUUCCAGUAUCA
rnacentral:pre_miRNA from 1 species